UACGUAGGGUGCAAGCGUUAAUCGGAAUUACUGGGCGUAAAGCGUGCGCAGGCGGUGAUGUAAGACAGAUGUGAAAUCCCCGGGCUCAACCUGGGAACUGCAUUUGUGACUGCAUCGCUGGAGUACGGCAGAGGGGGAUGGAAUUCCGCGUGUAGCAGUGAAAUGCGUAGAUAUGCGGAGGAACACCGAUGGCGAAGGCAAUCCCCUGGGCCGUCACGUGACGCUCAUGCACGAAAGCGUGGGGAGCAA
rnacentral:rRNA from 1 species